rnacentral:rRNA from 1 species
CACGUAGGAGGCAAACGUUAUCCGGAUUUACUGGGCGUAAAGCGCGUGUAGGUGGUUCUGUAAGUAGGGCGUGAAAGCUCCCGGCUCAACUGGGAGAGGCCGUUCUAAACUGCAGAGCUAGAGGAUGGUAGAGGGAGGUGGAAUUCCAGGUGUAGCGGUGGAAUGCGCAGAUAUCUGGAGGAACACCAGUGGCGAAGGCGGCCUCCUGGACCAUUCCUGACACACAGACGCGAAAGCUAGGGUAGCAAACGGGAUUAGAUACCCGGGUAGUCCCU